UACGAAGGGUGCAAGCGUUACUCGGAAUUACUGGGCGUAAAGCGUGCGUAGGUGGUUUGUUAAGUCUGAUGUGAAAGCCCUGGGCUCAACCUGGGAAUUGCAUUGGAUACUGGCAGGCUAGAGUGCGGUAGAGGAUGGCGGAAUUCCCGGUGUAGCAGUGAAAUGCGUAGAGAUCGGGGAGGAACAUCUGUGGCGAAGGCGGCCAUCUGGACCAGCACUGACACUGAGGCACGAAAAGCGUGGGGGAGCAAACAGG
rnacentral:rRNA from 1 species